rnacentral:rRNA from 1 species
GACGAACGCUGGCGGCGCGCCUAACACAUGCAAGUCGAACGAGCGAGAGAGAGCUUGCUUUCUCGAGCGAGUGGCGAACGGGUGAGUAACGCGUGAGGAACCUGCCUCAAAGAGGGGGACAACAGUUGGAAACGACUGCUAAUACCGCAUAAGCCCACGGGUCGGCAUCGACCAGAGGGAAAAGGAGCAAUCCGCUUUGAGAUGGCCUCGCGUCCGAUUAGCUAGUUGGUGAGGUAACGGCCCACCAAGGCAACGAUCGGUAGCCGGACUGAGAGGUUGAACGGCCACAUUGGGACUGAGACACGGCCCAGACUCCUACGGGAGGCAGCAGUGGGGAAUAUUGCACAAUGGGGGAAACCCUGAUGCAGCGACGCCGCGUGGAGGAAGAAGGUCUUCGGAUUGUAAACUCCUGUUGUUGAGGAAGAUAAUGACGGUACUCAACAAGGAAGUGACGG